rnacentral:rRNA from 1 species
CCUACGGGUGGCAGCAGUGAGGAAUAUUGGUCAAUGGGCGCGAGCCUGAACCAGCCAAGUCGCGUGAGGGAAGACGGUCCUAUGGAUUGUAAACCUCUUUUGUCGGGGAGCAAAAGACGCCACGCGUGGCGUUCCGCGUGUACCCUACGAAUAAGCAUCGGCUAACUCCGUGCCAGCAGCCGCGGUAAUACGGAGGAUGCGAGCGUUAUCCGGAUUUAUUGGGUUUAAAGGGUGCGUAGGCGGAUCGUUAAGUCAGUGGGAAAAUUGAGGGGCUCAACCCCGUCCCGCCAUUGAAACUGGCGCUCUGGAGUGGAGGAGAGGUAUGCGGAAUGCGUGGUGUAGCGGUGAAAUGCAUAGAUAUCACGCAGAACCCCGAUUGCGAAGGCAGCAUGCCGGCUUCCGACUGACGCUGAGGCACGAAAGCGUGGGGAUCGAACAGGAUUAGAUACCCGGGUAGUC